GCGGAGCCGUCGCGUUUCGGGGUGCCCGUCGCGCGCCGCUUGCGUCAUUUUCCCGCGCCCUGGGAGCUCUGCUCGCCUCCGCACCUUCAUCUGCACCGGGAGCGGCUGGGGCGGGCAUGGGCGCGGGCCGGGCGCCCGGGGGUCGGGGGUCGGGCGUCGGGCGUCGGGAGACAGGCGAGGCGGCGCGGCUGGAGAUGAGCGCCCCUGCCUCGGGCACCGGGGAGAGCAGCACGGCAAGCCGGAGAGAGACGCCAGGCCUUCAUAUUUCUGCACUGGCCGUGGCUGGGUACAUCCCGGACUUGAAGGCACAGGGAGCACGAGCAAGGGCAUGUUCUGCAUACCUGGACACCUGAGGCCCGAGCGUCUGCCGCCAACACACCGGGCUUCAGUUGCUUCCUCCGUAGAUCUGGGGACCAGUGAGGGCUUUCCAGAGGGCAAAGCAAGGCCUUAGGAGCCCACUGGCCUGCCUCUGGAUUCCGACUCUACCUUUGACUAGUGAGUUUGGGUUAAUCACAUAAUCUCUCAGAACCUCAGUGUUCUCAUCUGAAAAAUGGGGAC